CAACCUCAACUCAUAUGGGACUACCCCCUGAAUUUAAGCAUUAUUAAUUAGGGGAGGAAAAGAACUAACAAGGAUUUUCUUAGUAGCGGCGAGCGAAAAGAAAUCAGUUCAGCACUAAGUCACUUUGUCUAUAUGGCAAAUGUGAGAUGCAGUGUACGGAACAUCAACAUUCUAGUAUGAGAAGUUAACGAUUUAAGUCCUUCUUAAAUGAGGCCAUUUACCCAUAGAGGGUGCCAGGCCCGUAUAACGUUAAUGAUUACUAGAUGGUGUUUCCAAAGAGUCGUGUUGCUUGAUAGUGCAGCACUAAGUGGGUGGUAAACUCCAUCUAAAACUAAAUAUAACCAUGAGACCGAUAGUAAACAAGUACCGUGAGGGAAAGUUGAAAAGAACUCUGAAUAGAGAGUUAAAUAGUACGUGAAACUGCUUAGAGGUUAAGCCCGAUGAACCUGAAUAUCCGUUAUGGAAAAUUCAUCAUUAGAAUUGUAAUAUUUUAAACAAUAUUAUAAUAAUAGUGUGCAUUUUUUCCAUAUAAGGACAUUGUAAUCUAUUAGCAUAAAUAUUUAUCAUAAAAUUAUGUCUGAUUGCUUAUUUGAAUUAUAUGCUUGGCAUUUUAACAUAAAAUAAAAGAUAUAAAUUUGAUAAAGUGCUGAUAGAUUUAUAUGAUUACAGUGCGUUAAUUUUUCGGAAUUAUAUAAUGGCA
rnacentral:ncRNA from 1 species